AUGCAGGCAGAAGGCAGCACGGCUGGCGCUCUGGUUCCCGCCGCUGGCAGGUCCUGUGGGUCGUGCUGCUGCUCUUCUCUUCCGUCGUGGUCGUCGUCCUCCUCCUCGUCGUCGUCGUCCUCCUCGUCGUCGUCGUCGUCGUCCUCCUCCUCCUCCUCGCACAUUUAUUGGUGCAUUUUAGGCGACACUGUUUUCUGCCUGGCUUCUCCCUCGGCAGGUUUCCAAGGUCUGUGUGUGUAUGGCACACAUCAGAAUUUAACCCUCUCCAGGCCAGUAAUCCACUGUAUGCACGAACCACAUCUGCCUCUCCAUUCCACAGCUGAUGGGGAGGUGGGUUCCAACCUCCUGCUACUGCACUUCUGCUGUGAACACUGUGGACAUGUAACUGGGUGAGUCCGUCUUUAAUUCCUUCGGGUGUACAGGAGGAGGGGACUUGCUGGGUCACAGGACAACUCCACAGCUCCUUUAAAGAAAUAUCUUCAAGUCCUUUGUCCCUUCUUUUUUUUUUGGUACUGGGGAUCGAACUCAGCACCUCUCUCUUUCAAGGCAGGCGCGGUACCACUGAGCAAUAUCCCCUGCCCCCUUUGUCCAUUCUGAAGUGGGGCUGUUCCUUUCUGGCUCUCUAGAUACUCUGGAUAUGAUUUCCUUAUUGGACACAUCUCGCCAAGAUUCUUCCAUUCCACACAGUUGCCUUCUACACUUAGUGUCCUUGCAUGCACACACAACUGAUUCUUGUGUUGAUCUUUGAUUCUGUAACUUUGCUGGAUUCAAGUCUGCAGUAGACUUCUUGUGGAAUCUUUUUUUUUGGUACCGGGGAUCGAACUUGGCAACUUGUGCUUUUGAGGCAGGUGGUGGAACCACUGAGCUAAAUCCCCAUCCCUUCUUGUGACAUCUUUAGAGCACUUCUUACUUCUGUUUCUUUUUUUUUUUUUGAUGGGGGGUGUCUUGCUAAUUUGUCCAAGGUCACCUCAAACUUGUGAUCUUCCUUCUGCUUCUACCUCCUGUGCAGCUGGUAUUCCAGGUGUGUGUCACAAUCCCUAGCUUUUUUUCUUUUGCAGUUCUGGGGACUGAAUUCAGGGCCCUGUGUCAUGUAUGCUAAGCAAGUGCUCUACAACUGAACUACACUCCCAAGGCUUGUGGUUUUCUAUAUACAGGGUCAUAUCAUUUGCAAAUAGUUCUACCUCUUCCUUUCCAACAUGGAUCCCCUUCUUUUUCUCGUCUAACUACUCUGGCUCUAAGUUCCUGUACAAUGCUGACUAGCAAUGGUGAAAGCAGGCAAGCUUGUCUCUUAUUCCUGGUCCUAGGGGAAAAGUUUGUAGUCUCUUACCCAAGUGCAUCAGCUGUGAAUUCUUCAUAAACAGCCUUUAUCAUGUUAAGGAAGUUCCCUUUCAUUCCUAGUCUUUUACCCACCCAUCCUGGGGAUCGAACCCAGGACCUUCAUACUGAGCUACAUUCCCAGCCCUUUUUGAGACAGGGUCUUGCUAAAAUGCUGCCUAGGCUGGGCACAAACCUGCACUCCUCCUGUUUCAGGCUCUCAGAAUGCUGAGAUUAUAGAUGUGCAUUUUUUUUUUAAAUCAUGAUAGGAUGUUGGAUUUUGUCAGUUUAUUUAUUUUUGCAUCGAGGGAACUAUGUAAGAUUCUCCUUGGCUCUGCUAAUGUGCAUUUACAUUGCUUUCCUCAUGCUGAACUCUCUUGUAUUCCUGAGAUAAAUUCUAUGUGGUUAUGGUCCAAUCCUUUUAAUAUGCUGAUGGAUUUAGUUUGCCUGAAUCUUACUGGCAAUCUGCUGAACUGCU
rnacentral:lncRNA from 1 species